rnacentral:tRNA from 1 species
GGCAGUGUAGUAUAAUGGUUAAGGAGCUGGUCUUGUAACCUAAAGGUCACAGGUUCAAUUCCCAAGGACACUGCCG